rnacentral:sRNA from 1 species
AAUAUCUCGGUAGGUGAGGCUACCAUAGGGAUACGGGUUGCUGCCGCAAAAUAGUGGAGACACUAUGAGAAGGUCAACAGUCUAUGUCGAUUCCAAGGCAUAAUCUAAUGCAAUUUCAUUGCCCUAUGAAGUUAAAGCUUGAACGAUGAU